rnacentral:lncRNA from 1 species
CGCUAGAGACUCUGCCUCCUAAGAGACACGUUAAGCUGACUCUGUGUCUCUGUCAUUCAUCUUCACUCCCCAGGUCAGAGAGAACAAAGCAGCAGCUCUAGGUCCCGGAAUAAGGCUGGCCGAGUGGGUCAGCUACAGGUGGUGCCCCAGCAUGGGGCUCGGGACCUGGGCUUGCCUACAUAUAGGUGUUUUCUCCCUCCCCACAGAUCCAAGGGGAAGAAUGGGGCAGGUCUGGGUCCUGUUUAGGAAGGGUGGUCUGUAGCCAGAAGAAGACAGGAGAGGUGCUGGAGAAGCAACACAUGUGGCCCCCUUGGUCCUAGAGAGAGGAGGGGGUGCUGUUUCUCCUCACAGUCACAUCUCAGGACAGUGAACCAGGUGGUGCAGUCCUUGCCCCUGCAGAGCUCACCUUCCAGAGAAGAUCCUAGACAGAUAAAUAGGCACACGCAGCAGCGUCACUUAGCAUCUGGGUGGGUAGGGGAACAGCCCACCCACCCUGGGGCUGUAAAGGCAAGGGAGGUGCUAAUUAGGUGGGGUGGCAGAGAAAGCUGCUAGGAGGGUGCAAAAUGUGCAGAAAGUACAGUGCACUCAGGGUUAACCACAGCAUUUCUGGAAGAAAAGAAUACAAGCAGAGGAAAGAGCAAGUUCAAAGGCCCUGUGGUGAGAAUGCUCAGUGUGGCCAGAGUGGAACGACACAGAGGGAGGAGAGGAGAUCUGAUAGCUAUGCAAGGCCCAGAUCCUGGGCUCAGGUUGUAUCUAGGCCUUGGCAAGGAGUCUAGAUUUGCUUUAGAGGGAGAAGAAACUGAUGGGGUUUUUCUGAACAGGAGAAUGCCAUGAUCCUAUUUGCAUUUACAAAGAACACUCCCAUGACUCCAUAGUGAUUUUUUAAAUAGAUACAUCCCAUCUGUACUCCAGCCUCAUCAGUAUGUUUCUUAAAUCAGUUAACUUUACUCAAGUAACAUUCUUAAGGAAAUUUGAUGUUCCACCUCUGCAAAUGAAAAAUCAGUAUUGUCUGCCAUAAAUAGAAGAAAACCCGUAAAAACAAAUACAACCAAAACAAAGAAGUGUUAUUACUUUUUCACCAAAGACUCCUAACGAUGAUGAACCUGAGCCUGGAGCCCCCUCUGUCUGAAGGAAAGUUAGUAAGCACUGGAGAACCUAAAGUCAACUAGCACCCACCUGAGACUCUCUCCACGGGGCGCUGGAGUAUCUGAAAGAAACUUGGUGCGGAAAUACGUCUCCCACAGUAGGAUACCCCAGUCCUUCAUGCUGGUUCCAGUAGCCACAAAUCAUCUCAUAGCCUUCAUGGGCACCCUGACUAGUCUUUGGGGAAAACAUCAUAAGGGAAUAUAUUUUCAAUUUGAUAUUUCAGGUAUACUUGAAAUCAAAUCAAAAGACUUCCAGGGGCUGGGGACUUAGCUCAGUGGUUCUGGAGCCUGCCUUGCAAGUGCAAGGUCCCUAGUUCGAUCUUCGGUACAAAAAAAGAAAAAGGCUUCCAUCCUUCCCCUCUGAGACCAGGUGAUAAAUGUUUCAGAAGUGUCUGCUGUUACUCAUUAGCUCCAGAAGCUACAAAGACAGCGUGUGUAGGGUGGUGUUGUGCUUUGGUUUGGGCUGGCUUUGGGUUUUCCUUUUUGCAUACUUAUUCUCCAUGCACUGACUUCAGCUCAGCUGGCUAGGUGACCAGGUGCCAUUGCACUGCACCUGCCCCACCUGUUAUUGACAGCAGGGCCAACGUAAGGGCAUGAGGCCAAUCACACUGGCCCUGUACCCAAAGUAAAGUAGGAAACAGGCAGCGUGGGACUGAAGGACAAAUUUCCACUCAGGGGCUGCCACCUCACCUGGUAACAGAAUGUUACCCGCUUCCCUUUAGGAAUUUGCACGAUGUACAUCAUAGAGUCACAGGCAUUUGACUCCCAAAGAGUCCUUUGGACACAAGUUUCAUUUCAACAGUGGGGAAACUGAGCCCCAGAGAGAAAGCAACCUGCCUGUGUGCUCAGGACAAGGAAGUUUUCCUUGAAUAUUCCCUUUGAUCAGUGUGACUACAAUUUGCUUUUUAUGUCUGUUGAGAUUCAGAAGGGUUUUCACUCACAUGCACAUCUAUUUAUCAAUUGUUUAUCAAUUGCUUUCUAAGAAGCCACAUAUUCACAUGAGCAUCCAUAUAUAGGGGUAGGGAAAAGUUCUUCAUAACCCCCUCUCCCAGGAUCAGCCUGGACAAAGCAAAGGCAGCCGCACCAGGGUGAAGCUUCCAGUUUCCAAAGCACAAGGCCUUCUCGGCUUAUUGGCAGUCGGAUCAGGUGCCUGCAGAGAGGCCUGACUCUGUAUUUUCACUUAAUUGAAAAACCCACAUCAUCCAAGAGAGCAUCCAUGUUCGGUGACCCUUCCCUCCCUCGACGGUGACCAUUAACCUUUAAAAAGAUGCUUCGUGAGCCAGUUAGGGAGCCGCCGCCUCCAUGCCAAGGUGCAGUGAGGCUCAGAGAAGGGACCCCAUUAGGAGGGCCGGACAUGAGAAAUGCCGCAAAUGAAGGCUGGGCAGAGCAGGUACCUGGGCCACCAGAGGUCCCAGCAUGGCUGUGUCCGUGGCCUCUCAGGGCACCCAAGCCUCAGCCACAGACCUCUGGGGUGACCCAGUCUUGUUAAAGAAGUGAGUUCAACAGAGCCAACUGUGAAUGAAAUGGGUAAAUCAGAUCCUGUUGAUCCUCUGGCCAGAACCCUGUGCUGCUCUUACAGACUCAGAGUAGAAGCCAUGGCCUCUGCUUGAUCCAGCCCUUCCUCACUGGCCUGCUUCCUCUAUCUCUGUACCCCUUCUCUCCCCUCUCCAGCCACACUGACAUCCUCACUAUGCUUCAUACACCCCAGGGCCUUUGCACAGCCAUUCGUCUGCUGGGAAAGCUUCGUCUCAAGAUAGUGUCAAGGCUGCUGCCUCUCACUGUGGCUGCCUCCGGGAGGUCUUCCUUACCUUUAAAAAUCACCUCUGCACCCCCACACUCACUGUCCCCCUUCCCCCAACCAGGACCUGACAUGUGCAGGCACCUUUCACUGCUUGACCUGUCAGCAUUUGCGGAUCUAGAGAAGGGGGUGCCCUGUCCAAGGGCAAGCGUCCCUCUUUUCAGUCUGUUUGGCUCACAGCUGUGUCCCUAGUGCAGGGCACGGUGCCAGACACUCAGCAGGGCCUCCAUAAAUAUUUGUAGCCUGAGCAAGUGAACAAAUGGAUGGAAUCACAUUUGAAAGACAAAGCUCUGGGACUUCAAAGAACUUGUUGAUUAAAGGGGUGGAGUUCAGGUAUCUGCAUCCUUACUUUGGCUGAAGGGAAAGAGUAAGAAUACCAAUUGUCACCCAGGAUGGCUGGGUGCCCAGUACUGAAGAGGGCGGCAGACUGGCUGCCGUAGCAACUCUCCCUCCCACGGUGGAAGGGGCGGUGAGGAGUGGAAAGGAGGAACAUCAGGACGUUGUCAUUUGCCCUCAAGGGCCGCACUAGGACUUUAGGGUCCUGGGAGCCUCUUGCUGGUCCUUUGGCUCUGCUGGAAUCCUCUUCCCAGGGCCAGCUCCUUCCAUGACCAGUCUCAGCUCGCAUGCCACCUGCUCGGGUAGGGCUCUCCUGAUCUCAGGCACUUCCCCCACCUAUCUCCUUGAUCAUGCCACCGCGGUUCAUUUGUAUCAGUGCCUUUGCCCCUUUCUGAAAUGCUCGGGGUCACCCACAUCUUUACUGGGCUAUUUAUUAUCUAUAAAUCUCCAACCAGGAUGUCAGCCUUAUGACAAGGGGACCGUGCUUGUCUGUGCCUAGCUCAAGGCCUGCCACACAGUACCCAAUAAAUGUUUGUGAAAUCAGUGGUUUUGCAAUGUUAUGUAUCCUGGGGAUUUCUUACAAAGUAGUAUUUAAAUUUUCCAGUUUUUAGAGGCCUGCAAAUAGCAUUUCCCAUUACCCCAGAGGGAUUAGAUAGUCCUUGACCUGAAUCAGGAGUGUGGCUUGUUUCAUUUCCCAAAAUCCCAUAUGUCAACAAGAAUGUUCCGUUGCUAUUUAAUGUGUUCACUGAUGCACUCUGUUAAAUUGAGUGUAAUGAUCUUUUCCCCCUACUAUACAUCUUCCAAAUCCCUCCCAUUUCUUCAAGAAUGUGUGCACAAUUUCCCAGGAAGCAGCUGCCUGCCCACUCAGCCUAGGAAAUUUGGGUGGGUGGAUCCUACACUCAGCCCCAGCAUGUGACUCAGCCUGAGCCAAUCAGCACCCUGGCCCACAGUGAGUGGUCCAGGCAGGAUAGUCAUGUGACCUCUGAGAUAGCCCACUGCUGCUCAGCCCAGGAUCAGGGACCUCAUUAAGAACUUUUGGGCUCUUGCUGCUCUUCAAACCUGCCUAGAAGGCAUCUGUGACUUCUCUUUGCUUCGCUGGGCAAUCUCAAUUAAGAACCAAGAAAACAGUGGGUGUAGGAAACUCACCUAGAUGCAGAGUUUUAUACAAUGAUGGACCCACUUCCGACUUUGGAGACUGUGGGUCACUCUUGGAGGGAAGCAGCUCCCCUUGGCUUCCUACUCCGUCCUUUCCACUAAUGGUUGACAGGUGACAGGAAAACAGGGCAUGUGGAGUAGGACUGACCUGUGUGAGUAUCUUGUGUGUGCUGCUCAUGCGCCACCUAACCCUUGACAGAUGACACAGCCCUUGCAUGCUGCCGCCAGCUCCUCCCCAUGAGGGAGACAUGAUGUGGUUUGAAAGGCCCCAGCCUGGGAGCUGGAAAGACCUGGCCCCUGAUGUCACCUCUGCCACUGACUUGACAUUUAAGCUGGGCAGGCUGGGUACCCUCUGCUUCUCUGGGCCUAGCUAUGAAAGGAAGGUGAAAGUACCUACAGCAAUGGGGUUUCCUAAGGAUUGAAUGGGGCCACAUAUGUAGAGCACCCAGCACAGGUCCAGGCUCAGAGAGAAAGCAGAGAAUACUCAUCCUUCCCCGUCCCCAAGUCCACACCCUGGCUGCCUAGACAGCUCUGUCCAGGUUCUUUCCUUCCAAGAAGGUUUCGGGAUCCUUAGUGUGAUCUUGUGUGUGUUAGAACCAGUAUUUGCCAUGAGAGUACUCACCGUAUUUUCUUCUCUCCCUCCUUGUCCCCCUUUGCAGCUGUGCUGUCCUCUACAUGGGAUUUCUUCUCAGGGAGGCUCAUCCCCUGAGCUGGACAGCUCCCAGCUGACUGCCUCCCUGCUCAGUGGCAGCAGCAGAAAGACAGGUGCCCACAACACCAGCCCCAAAGUCCGAGGUUGCUCACCAUUGACUGCCUUGAGUCACGUGCCCUUUGCUGGACCAAUCACAGUGGCCAGAAAUGGAAUAUGGGGUCAUCAAGGCCCAGACACAGAGGUGUGGGGGCUCCCAAUAUGCCACUCUCAGGAGACAUAGGCUGCUAGAAACAACAGAUGACCCCUGUACUAGGGAACAGUUAAAAGAAAAUACUGGGCUGGGGAUUUAGCUCAGUGGUUUUGCCACCUGCUGCUGCAUAAGCACAAGGACCCGAGUUCAAUCCCUGGUAUCAAAAAAAAAAAAAAUACUAAUGCUCUUUGACAUUCUGAAAUCAAAGAUUUGAAAUCCAAACUCAUAAGUGACAGUUCAUUUUAAGUCAACUUGGCAAGGCCGUGGUGCCCAGAGAUGAGGUCAAAUAUUAUUUAGAAGUUUCUAUAAGGGUGUUUGGGGAUGAGAUUAACAUUUAAAUCAGUGGACUUUAAGGAAAGCAGAUUGCCCUCCAUAAUGUGGGGGGCCACAUCCAAUCAGGUGAAGGCCUGCAUAGAAGAAAACACUGACCUCCUGCAAGCAAAAAGAAUUCUUCAGCAGAUGUCUCAGACUUAAACAGCAGCACCAGCUCCUUCCAGGGUCUCCAGCCUGCUGCUCUACCCUGCGGGUGCUGGACUUGCCAGCCCCCAUAGCCACAGGAGCCAAUUGCUGAAGAUAAACUUCUUUCCGUAUAUGAACCAUAGGUGUUGAAAAACUUUACCCUCUGAAGGUUUGAUAAUUGGGUCUAUGAAGUAUACUGACAAUGGACAGACUAAUGGGAGAAAAGUUAUACAAAUUCCUUACCCACACAGGGGCAUCACAGGAAAGAGAAGUGACCAGUCCCAGCCCAGGGUGAUCCGGAAUCAUAUAUACCUGCUUCAGUGGGGAGGGGGAAGGGGAAGGCUAACUGGCCAUUGGGUGCCAGCCGGGGGUAAAGUAUCUGGGCACAGAGUGACCUUGGGUACACCUGCUGUGAUGGAAGUCCACCUUUCUCUGGCUGACCAGGGCCCUGGCAGGGGAUUCUUGAUUAUUGGUUGGUUCCCUUUGUAGGAUCCAACUUUAGGCAGAUAAGGGAAGCUUGGCCGAGCCCUCUCUGUGCUUGCUGUCCCCAGGUGUCCUCUCUCUGAAAUACUCCACACACUCAAGGGCAUGUUUUUGGUGGCAUCUUUUGAACUCCUCAGCACAUGUUCUGUUGAGUGUGUCUUCUGGGAGCCCUGACUCACACCACACACUGUACUUGAAUAAAGGUUACUUCCAAAGCCCCUCACCUCUGGACUGUAACCAACUUGGUGACAAACUUAGUCCAUCUCCAUAUGCUGGCAUUUGCCACGUGGAAAAGGCCAUUUGACAGAUGGAAGCUGCGGUCCCACCCCAACUCCCAUUUCCUCUCUCUCUUUAAUGUUGAUUUUAUGCUCAUUUUAGAGACCCAGUCAAAAAGAUGGAUACAAGGCCAAAUCAGUGACAAAUGAAAAAGGGAUUUAGACACCUUGAGCUUUUGUGUUGUGUGGUGUGUGUGUGUGUGUGAGAGAGAGAGAGAUUAGUACUAUCCUUCGAAGGAAGGAAGGAGGAAGCUGAAUUCCUGACAGGGCUGGGAGGAGAUGGUGCCUGAACAGACUCUUGCAGUGGACCUCCACCUAGCCCUGUCUCCUAGGAUGAGGGUCCUCCAGUUUUCCUCCAGGGAUUGAAUUCACCUGACCCCACUGAUGGCCCAGUAUGAGCUCUUCCUGCUGCCAUCUGCUGCCCAGGGCCCAGGAUACCCUGUUCCUGCCCCUCCAAUGCCUCCUGCUCCCCAGACCUUCUGGUCGUUCUGCAUUUCUGUGCUCCAGGGUCUAACGUGGAUUCUGUGCCCUGUGACCUCAAAACCCAACAUAACUGAAGAAUGAAAAAAUCUUUAAAAUCACAAGGAAGGCGGCGGCAGAGGUGAUGGCGGCGGCAGAGGUGAUGGCGGCAGCAGCACCACCUGAGAACAGAGCUGGGCCCGGGCAUGGUGGCGCGUUCUGCACUGUGAGAGCGCAGCGGCCGCUGGAUCGCCAUGCGCCAGCGGCUCCAAAGCUCGGGCCUUUGGCCCUUCGCCUCGGCGACGGGAGGCAGCGUCCCGGAGACGAGACUGCGGGCGCUGAGCAAGCCUUGGGCAUCGUGAGGCUGGAUCUCCCCCGCAGCCACGUGGAUUUCCCUGUGAUCCUCUAUGAGCUGUGAGCCUGGUGGGUGAAGACACAAGCACCCCCUCUGACCCAGCAAGAAACUUCCUGUCACAAGGUGUAGCUUCCAUUGAGCACCCCAGGCUGGGGCCACAGCCCUUCGUGAACUCUGUUGGCCCAGAACCUUCAGCUGUAAGCAGGGCAGCCCUCGGUAUAAAUCGGGUAUUGGUUUGUGUGUGGACAAGAGAGGUUUGGUGUCUGGCAAAGGCUAACGGGAGAGUUACCAGCAGAGCUUUCCCAGCCACAGGGCAUCUGCCAGUCAGGAAUGUGUGGUUCCUGGUUCCUUGCCUGGCUGGUCUGCUUUCUUCCAAGCUUGCCUAGGGCCCAGCCUCACUAAAAGCUACAGCACUUUCCAUGCAAAAUCUGCCUUCUUCCAGCCCCUGGACUUUGGGAGCUCUACACAAGUGGGAACUUCCUUUCCCUCACUUCCUUUACCCCCUAGUCAGAGCAUUUCAGCCAUUUCUACCUCUAUACUUCCUGAUUGGACAGAGGCUGAGGACAGCACCCACCUGAUGCUUCCCACCUACCUGCCAUUUGUUCCCACUUUCACAUGGACAGUUUGCUGGCUGUUAACUGGAAUGAGGACUGGUAUGGGUAGCUUCUCCUUUUCCCAGGGCUUGGCUAAUUGCUCCCCAGUGCAACUAGUUAUUGCCCUCUCCUCAGUUAAGAGGUACAGGCCAGAGUCAGAACAGGCUAUGGGCGUCUGUGCCUAUGGGAAGUUGCCCCAAGCCUAUUCUAACCGCCUCCCCCCUUGCCUUUGCACCAGCCAUUCCCCCUACUAUCCAGUUGGGAGGGUCCACUACCCUGUGAUGAAGACCAACAUACUAGGGCUGGUGCCUGUAGCGCUAUGAGGAGACCACCACUCUUCUGCCACAAUAUCUUCACCCCUUCUGGAUCAGUCAAGGGAAAGUACUAGGGCCCCUUGAAAAGCACAGAAAGGAGGGCAAAAACAUAAAAGGGAAUACUGUACUUAAAGUGUGAAGAUUUGUAAAUAGUCUAGUCCAUGCUGAUGUUAGGGCAGAGUCUGAUUUCUACACAGAAAUGACUUUCUUUUUCUUUUAAUUUCUUAUUGUGCAAGUUCUAUGCUUCUAGCAUGGGACAUGGCUUGGGGAUGAUGCUCCCCAGUAUAGGAAGAUUGUUGUGCUAUUUGUUCGAUUUCAAUAAAAUUAUUUGUAGAUCCUGUAAAAAAAUAAAAUCAGAAGGAAAAAAAUUGUUUAAAGUUGCCAUGGCUACCAAGUGAAAAGUGCAACAUUCUGUAGCAAAUUCUGCAAACUGUAAGAUUUCAUUAUUAAAUACUUUGUUUUCAAUAAAAAACUGAUGUUAAUGUUUAUAAAAUAAUUGAAGAAAUGUUCAAAGUGCUCAUUGUCACUCCUUGUGUUUGAGAAAGAAGUACAGCAGUGAAAUUGUUUUGGAAAAUAUAAAAGUUGUUGGUGAUUUGGUUUUAAGUUGUUAUCUCUUACAUCUUCACGUCACUCAGUAAGCUUUUCUGCUCUCUGUCAACCUUAAAAUGCAUAAACAUCACAAAUAUGAGAAAUAUAUAUCUUAUUUUGAAUAAAAAUUAGUAUUGCAAAAAUUAGUGUUGGGCAUUUUUUUAUAUUAU